rnacentral:lncRNA from 1 species
GAAAAAUAAGAUCCUGGAAUUUCAUGUCCUGUGUCGUGGGAGUUUAGAAUCUUCACUUUCUGUGCCGGGCACUAAAGUACACAGGAGUUUUGGCAUCUUCGAAAUAGGCUUCUCGAUGGGGAGUGAAAGGUAUUUGAUGUUUGACUGCCACUUUGACAAAUUCGUAAUUAUUUUGUAGGUAACUCAUUAGGUCUUCACUAUGUUAAUUCCUGAUUUAAAAUGAUGAAAUACCACUCUACUUUCUAAGGAGGAGCUUACUGAGAGCCAAAUCAGUUGGCUUUGUUAGUUUUUUACAUGCUGCAAAUCAUCCCUUUUAGUUAACAGGCUACUUUUGUGCCUGGUCUUCUGGGUGUGCAUUCGUUCAUAAUUGAUCCAUACAUGAAUUCAUGGAAUCUUUUGCUUUGUUAAUCUGGUUGAAGUGGAAUUUAUGCUCUAAGUUUGAUAUUUAAAGUUUAAGAAAGGAAGGAAAAAUAAAAAAGGCAUGCUAGUACUCGGC